UGGGGAAUAUUGCACAAUGGGCGAAAGCCUGAUGCAGCGACGCCGCGUGAGGGAUGACGGCCUUCGGGUUGUAAACCUCUUUCAGUAGGGACGAAGCGCAAGUGACGGUACCUGCAGAAGAAGCACCGGCUAACUACGUGCCAGCAGCCGCGGUAAUACGUAGGGUGCGAGCGUUGUCUGGAAUUACUGGGCGUAAAGAGCUCGUAGGCGGUUUGUCACGUCGUCUGUGAAAUCCUAGGGCUUAACCCUGGACGUGCAGGCGAUACGGGCUGACUUGAGUACUACAGGGGAGACUGAAUUUCUGGUGUAGCGGUGGAAUGCACAGAUAUCAGGAAGAACACCGAUGGCGAAGGCAGGUCUCUGGGUAGUAACUGACGCUGAGGAGCGAAAGCAUGGGUAGCGAACAGG
rnacentral:rRNA from 1 species